rnacentral:rRNA from 1 species
AGCGGCGGACUGGUGAGUAACGCGUGGGUGAUCUGCCCUUUGGUUGGGGAUAGCCAUUAGAAAUAGUGGGUAAUACCGAAUACGUUCGCACAACUACGGUUAUGCGAGGAAAGGCGCUACGGCGCCGCCGGAGGAUGAGCCCGCGUCCCAUUAGCUAGUUGGUGGGGUAAGAGCCUACCAAGGCGAUGAUGGGUAGCCGGCCUGAGAGGGUGUACGGCCACACUGGGACUGAGAUACGGCCCAGACUCCUACGGGAGGCAGCAGCUAAGAAUAUUCCGCAAUGGACGAAAGUCUGACGGAGCGACGCCGCGUGGAUGAUGAAGGCCGUGAGGUUGUAAAAUCCUUUUGUCGGGGAAGAAUAAGCGUGGGAGGGAAUGCCCGCGUGAUGACAUGAACCGGCGAAUAAGCCCCGGCUAACUACGUGCCAGCAGCCGCGGUAACACGUAGGGGGCAAGCGUUGUUCGGAUUUACUGGGCGUAAAGGGCGCGUAGGCGGUCUUGUAAGCCUGACGUGAAAGGCUAUGGCUCAACCAUGGCACUGCGUUGGGAACUGUGAGACUAGAAUCACGGAGAGGGAGCUGGAAUUCCAGGUGUAGGGGUGAAAUCUGUAGAUAUCUGGAAGAACACCAGUGGCGAAGGCGAGCUCCUGGCCGAUGAUUGACGCUGAGGCGCGAAAGUGUGGG